rnacentral:rRNA from 1 species
UACUUAUGAUGGCGACCGGCGCACGGGUGCGUAACGCGUAUGCAACCUACCUUUUACAGGGGCAUAACACUGAGAAAUCGGUACUAAUACCCCAUAACAUCCAGGGAGGCAUCUUCUUGGGUUGAAAACUCCGGUGGUAAUGGAUGGGCAUGCGUUGUAUUAGUUAGUUGGUGGGGUAACGGCUCACCAAGACAACGAUACAUAGGGGGACUGAGAGGUUAACCCCCCACAUUGGUACUGAGACACGGACCAAACUCCUACGGAAGGCAGCAG